AAUGAACGCUGGCGGCGUGCUUAACACAUGCAAGUCGUGCGCGAAGGUGGCUUCGGCUGCCGGAGAGCGGCGAACGGGUGAGUAACACGUGGGUGAUCUGCCUGGGGGCGGGGGAUAACCUGGGGAAACUCGGGCUAAUACCGCAUACGUUGGCGGGUUUACGGACUCGUCAAGAAAGCUGGCCUCUGCUUGCAAGCUAGCGCUCCCAGAGGAGCCCGNGGCUGAUUAGCUAGUUGGUGAGGUAAUGGCUCACCAAGGCGACGAUCAGUAGCCGGCCUGAGAGGGUGAUCGGCCACACUGGGACUGAGACACGGCCCAGACUCCGUACGGGAGGCAGCAGUGGGGAAUAUUGGACAAGUGGGCGCAAGCCUGAUCCAGCAACGCCGCGUGGAGGAUGAAGUCUUCGGAUACGUAACUCCUGUCAGGAGGGGCGAACGUCGUC
rnacentral:rRNA from 1 species